rnacentral:rRNA from 1 species
AACGAACGCUGGCGGCAUGCCUAACACAUGCAAGCCGAACGAGACCUUCGGGUCUAGUGGCGCACGGGUGCGUAACGCGUGGGAACCUGCCCUUAGGUUCGGAAUAACUCCCCGAAAUGGGUGCUAAUACCGGAUAAUGUCUUCGGACCAAAGAUUUAUCGCCUUUGGAUGGGCCCGCGUUGGAUUAGCUCGUUGGUAGGGUAAAAGCCUACCAAGGCGACGAUCCAUAGCUGGUCUGAGAGGAUGAUCAGCCACACUGGGACUGAGACACGGCCCAGACUCCUACGGGAGGCAGCAGUGGGGAAUAUUGGACAAUGGGCGAAAGCCUGAUCCAGCAAUGCCGCGUGAGUGAUGAAGGCCUUAGGGUUGUAAAGCUCUUUUACCCGGGAUGAUAAUGACAGUACCGGGAGAAUAAGCUCCGGCUAACUCCGUG